rnacentral:rRNA from 1 species
UACGGGGGGGGGCAAGCGUUGUUCGGAAUUACUGGGCGUAAAGGGCUCGUAGGCGGCCAACUAAGUCGGAUGUGAAAUCCCCAGGCUUAACCUGGGAACUGCAUCCGAUACUGGAUGGCUUGGAUUUGGGAGAGGGAUGCGGAAUUCCAGGUGUAGCGGUGAAAUGCGUAGAUAUCUGGAGGAACACCGGUGGCGAAGGCGGGUCUCUGGGCCGAUACUGACGCUGAGGAGCGAAAGCGUGGGGAGCGAACAGG